rnacentral:rRNA from 1 species
UUUGUAUAAUGGGUCAGCGACUUAUAUUCAGUGGCAAGGUUAACCAUCUAGGGGAGCCGUAGGGAAACCGAGUCUUAACUGGGCGUUCAGUCUCUGGAUAUAGACCCGAAACCAGGUGAUCUAGCCAUGGGCAGGUUGAAGGUUGAGUAACAUCAACUGGAGGACCGAACCGACUAAUGUUGAAAAAUUAGCGGAUGACUUGUGGCUAGGGGUGAAAGGCCAAUCAAACCUGGAGAUAGCUGGUUCUCCCCGAAAGCUAUUUAGGUAGCGCCUCGGACGAAUACUACUGGGGGUAGAGCACUGUUAAGGCUAGGGGGUCAUCCCGACUUACCAACCCUUUGCAAACUCCGAAUACCAGUAAGUACUAUCCGGGAGACACACGGCGGGUGCUAACGUCCGUCGUGGAGAGGGAAACAACCCAGACCGCCAGCUAAGGUCCCAAAUUACUACUAAGUGGGAAACGAUGUGGGAAGGCUCAGACAGCCAGGAUGUUGGCUUAGAAGCAGCCAUCAUUUAAAGAAAGCGUAAUAGCUCACUGGUCGAGUCGGCCUGCGCGGAAGAUGUAACGGGGCUAAGUAGUAAACCGAAGCUGCGGCAAUGUGCUUUUGCACAUUGGGUAGGGGAGCGUUCUGUAAGCGGUUGAAGGUGUGUGGUAACGCAUGCUGGACGUAUCAGAAGUGCGAAUGCUGACAUGAGUAACGAUAAAGGGGGUGAAAAACCUCCUCGCCGGAAGACCAAGGGUUCCUGUCCAACGUUAAUCGGGGCAGGGUAAGUCGACCCCUAAGGCGAGGCCGAAAGGCGUAGUCGAUGGGAAACGGGUUAAUAUUCCCGUACUUCUUACAAUUGCGAUGGGGGGACGGAGAAGGCUAGGUGGGCCUGGCGACGGUUGUCCAGGUUCAAGUGCGUAGGCUUAAGAGUUAGGUAAAUCCGGCUCUUUCUAAGGCUGAGACACGACGUCGAGCACCUACGGGUGUGAAGUCAUUGAUGCCAUGCUUCCAGGAAAAGCCUCUAAGCUUCAGAUUGUAAGGAAUCGUACCCCAAACCGACACAGGUGGUCGGGUAGAGAAUACCAAGGCGCUUGAGAGAACUCGGGUGAAGGAACUAGGCAAAAUGGUACCGUAACUUCGGGAGAAGGUACGCUCUCGACGGUGAAGUCCCUCGCGGAUGGAGCUAUUGAGAGUCGCAGAUACCAGGUGGCUGCAACUGUUUAUUAAAAACACAGCACUGUGCAAAAUCGUAAGAUGACGUAUACGGUGUGACGCCUGCCCGGUGCCGGAAGGUUAAUUGAUGGGGUUAGACUUCGGUCGAAGCUCUUGAUCGAAGCCCCGGUAAACGGCGGCCGUAACUAUAACGGUCCUAAGGUAGCGAAAUUCCUUGUCGGGUAAGUUCCGACCUGCACGAAUGGCGUAAUGAUGGCCACGCUGUCUCCACCCGAGACUCAGUGAAAUUGAAAUCGCUGUGAAGAUGCAGUGUACCCGCGGCUAGACGGAAAGACCCCGUGAACCUUUACUACAGCUUGGCACUGAACAUUGACCCUACAUGUGUAGGAUAGGUGGGAGGCUUUGAAGCACGUACGCCAGUAUGUGUGGAGCCGUCCUUGAAAUACCACCCUUGUAGUGUUGAUGUUCUAACGUCGACCCCUAAUCGGGGUUGCGGACAGUGCCUGGUGGGUAGUUUGACUGGGGCGGUCUCCUCCCAAAGAGUAACGGAGGAGCACGAAGGUGGGCUAAUCACGGUUGGACAUCGUGAGGUUAGUGCAAUGGCAUAAGCCCGCUUGACUGCGAGAAUGACAAUUCGAGCAGGUGCGAAAGCAGGUCAUAGUGAUCCGGUGGUUCUGAAUGGAAGGGCCAUCGCUCAACGGAUAAAAGGUACUCCGGGGAUAACAGGCUGAUACCGCCCAAGAGUUCAUAUCGACGGCGGUGUUUGGCACCUCGAUGUCGGCUCAUCACAUCCUGGGGCUGAAGUCGGUCCCAAGGGUAUGGCUGUUCGCCAUUUAAAGUGGUACGCGAGCUGGGUUUAGAACGUCGUGAGACAGUUCGGUCCCUAUCUGCCGUGGGCGUUGGAAGAUUGAAGGGGGCUGCUCCUAGUACGAGAGGACCGGAGUGGACGAACCUCUGGUGUUCGGGUUGUGUCGCCAGACGCAUUGCCCGGUAGCUAAGUUCGGAAUCGAUAACCGCUGAAAGCAUCUAAGCGGGAAGCGAGCCCUGAGAUGAGUCUUCCCUGAUACUUUAAGUAUCCUAAAGGGUUGUCGGAGACUACGACGUUGAUAGGUCAGGUGUGUAAGUGCUGUGAGGCAUUGAGCUAACUGAUACUAAUUGCCCGUGAGGCUUAACCAUACAACACCCAAGGGGUUU